GAUCAUGGCGUCAGGAUGAACGCUGGCGGCGUGCUUAACACAUGCAAGUCGAGCGAAGCACUGGUUGAAUCUUUCGGAGUGACGAACCUUGACUGAGCGGCGGACGGGUGAGUAGCGCGUGGGGAACCUGCCCCAUACCGGGGGAUAACAGCGGGAAACUGCUGCUAAAACCGCAUAAGCGCACGAGGAGGCAUCUCCUUGUGUGAAAAACUCCGGUGGUAUGGGAUGGACCCGCGUCGGAUUAGCCAGUUGGCGGGGUAACGGCCCACCAAAGCGACGAUCCGUAGCCGGCCUGAGAGGGCGACCGGCCACAUUGGGACUGAGACACGGCCCAAACUCCUACGGGAGGCAGCAGUGGGGAAUAUUGCACAAUGGGGGAAACCCUGAAUGCAGCGACGCCGCGUGAGUGACGAAGUAUUUCGGUAUGUAAAGCUCUAUCAGCAGGGAAGAAGACGACGGUACCUGACUAAGAAGCCCCGGCUAACUACGUGCCAGCCGCCGC
rnacentral:rRNA from 1 species